rnacentral:rRNA from 1 species
GGAUGAACGCUGGCGGCGUGCCUAAUCCAUGCAAGUCGAGCGAACAGACGAGGAGCUUGCUCCUCUGACGUUAGCGGCGGACGGGUGAGUAACACGUGGAUAACCUACCUAUAAGACUGGGAUAACUUCGGGAAACCGGAGCUAAUACCGGAUAAUAUAUUGAACCGCAUGGUUCAAUAGUGAAAGACGGUUUUGCUGUCACUUAUAGCUGGAUCCGCGCCGCAUUAGCUAGUUGGUAAGGUAACGGCUUACCAAGGCGACGAUGCGUAGCCGACCUGAGAGGGUGAUCGGCCACACUGGAACUGAGACACGGUCCAGACUCCUACGGGAGGCAGCAGUAGGGAAUCUUCCGCAAUGGGCGAAAGCCUGACGGAGCAACGCCGCGUGAGUGAUGAAGGUCUUCGGAUCGUAAAACUCUGUUAUUAGGGAAGAACAAAUGUGUAAGUAACUAUGCACGUCUUGACGGUACCUAAUCAGAAAGCCACGGCUAACUACGUG